UUGGUGUCCUCAGUAGAUGGAUUGUUCUGAAAGUCACUAGGCUGCCAAUGUUAGAAACAUAAGUCUAUGAAGACUAAUGAAGUAAAGCUGGAGAGAGCCUGCAGAACUACCAACAAAUCUGGACUUGAAGAAAACUUCAAGGUACCUGAGGUCAACUACGGUCUGGAAGCAGAUGAUCCUUCUCCUGACAUAACAUCAUCAUAAAGUCAGCCUAACUUUAUGUCACAAGCCUGUCAUUCACCUCACUUCGCUUCAUCAGUUACCGGCUGUCAACCACAGUCUGGAAGCAGAUGAUCCUCCUACUGACAUAUGGUCGGAAAGUCGAUAGUACCCGAAAACUACAUCAUCCUGCUUACAUCAUUCACCUCACUUCACCUCAUCAGGUAGGCAUUUUAUUAUUUCACAUCAUCCCAAGAAGAAAGGUGAGUGCAGUACAAUAAGAUUUUGAGAGAAAGAGACCACAUUCACAUAACUUUUAUUACAGUAUAUUGUUAUAAUUAUUCUAUCCAUUACUAGUUAUUGUUCUUAAUCUUUUACUGUGCCUAAUUUAUAAAUUAAACUUCAUCCAAGGUAUGUAUGUGUAAGGAAAAAACAGUAUAAUAGGGUUCGGUCCUACCCACAGUAUCAGGCAUCCCACUGGGGGUCUCAGAAUGUAUCCCCUGUGGGUAAGAGGGAAGUACUGUACAUGAUCCAGAAAAUGAAUGGCAUAAUAGGGUUUUUUUUUUCCAAUUCUUAGCUCAAGAAGUAAGUAAGUG